rnacentral:rRNA from 1 species
CCUACGGGGGGCAGCAGUGAGGAAUAUUGGUCAAUGGGCGCGAGCCUGAACCAGCCAAGUCGCGUGAGGGAAGACGGUCCUAUGGAUUGUAAACCUCUUUUGUCGGGGAGCAAAAGACGCCACGCGUGGCGUUCCGAGAGUACCCUAAGAAAAAGCAUCGGCUAACUCCGUGCCAGCAGCCGCGGUAAUACGGAGGAUGCGAGCGUUAUCCGGAUUUAUUGGGUUUAAAGGGUGCGCAGGCGGAAGAUCAAGUCAGCGGUAAAAUUGAGAGGCUCAACCUCUUCGAGCCGUUGGAACUGGUUGUCUUGAGUGCGCGAGAAGUAUGCGGAAUGCGUGGUGUAGCGGUGAAAUGCAUAGAUAUCACGCAGAACUCCGAUUGCGAAGGCAGCAUACCGGCGCUCAACUGACGCUGAUGCACGAAAGUGUGGGUAUCGAACAGGAUUAGAUACCCCUGUAGUC